UAAGAGGUCCAGCCUGCCCAGUGACAUUUUUCAACGGCCGCGGUACUCUGACCGUGCGAAGGUAGCAUAAUCACUUGUUCCUUAAUUGGGGACUUGUAUCAACGGCACCACGAGGAUUCCACUGUCUCCUUUUUCUAAUCAGUGAAACUGAUCUCCCCGUGAAGAAGCGGGGAUAAUUUUAUAAGACGAGAAGACCCCAUGGAGCUUUAAACCCAAUGACACCUCUAACCUCACUCAUUCUUUAUAGUUAAUAAGUCCUGUCUAUUGGUUUUAGGUUGGGGUGACCGCGGAGAAAAACUUAACCUCCACAGCGCAUGGAGCUCCCUCCUUAUCUUAGAGCCACAUCUCGAAGAAUCAACAAAUUGACGUAAGAUGAUCCAAUUAUUUUGAUUAAUGAACCAAGUUACCCUGGGGAUAACAGCGCAAUCCAUUUCUAGAGCCCCUAUCGACAAAUGGGUUUACGACCUCGAUGUUGGAUCAGGGUAUCCCAGUGGUGCAGCCGCUACUGAUGGUUUGUUUGUUCAACAAUUAAA
rnacentral:rRNA from 1 species